ACUCGAGUGGCGAACGGGUGAGUAACACGUGGGUGAUCUGCCCUGCACUUCGGGAUAAGCCUGGGAAACUGGGUCUAAUACCGGAUAGGACAGCUGUUUAGUGUCAGUUGUGGAAAGUUUUUCGGUGCAAGAUGAGCUCGCGGCCUAUCAGCUUGUUGGUGGGGUAAUGGCCUACCAAGGCGUCGACGGGUAGCCGGCCCGAGAGGGUGUACGGCCACAUUGGGACUGAGAUACGGCCCAG
rnacentral:rRNA from 1 species